rnacentral:rRNA from 1 species
GAAAGUAUUCAAGGGCGCACGGCGGAUGCCUAGGCUCUUACAGGCGAUGAAGGACGUGAUAAGCUGCGACAAGCCGCGGUGAGGCGCAAAUGGCCAUUGACCCGCGGGUUUCCGAAUGGGGCAACCCAACGUUUUGAAGAAACGUUAUCCCGCGGAUGCGGGAGGCGAACGCGGGGAACUGAAACAUCUUAGUACCCGCAGGAGAAGAAAAUAAAGAAUGAUUCCCCCAGUAGUGGCGAGCGAACGGGGAAUAGCCCAAACCGGCGUUGUCCAGGCAUCGCCGGGGUUGUAGGACCGCGAUGUCGCAAGAGUGAUGGCGAGUGGAAGGAACUGGAAAGUUCCGCCAUAGAGGGUGACAGCCCCUUACACGAAGCCAUGCGAAGCGUAGCGGAAUCCUGAGUAGCGCGGGACACGUGUAAUCCUGUGUGAAUCAGCCGGGCCCAUCCGGCAAGGCUAAAUACUCGUAAGAGACCGAUAGUGAACCAGUACCGUGAGGGAAAGGUGAAAAGCACCCCUGUUAGGGGAGUGAAAAAGACCCUGAAACCGUGCGCCUACAAGCGGUCGGAGCGCCCAUUGGGCGUGACGGCGUGCCUUUUGCAUAAUGAACCUACGAGUUGCCGUCACCGGCAAGGCCAAGGGGCAUGAGCCCCGCAGCCGCAGCGGAAGCGAGUCUUAAAAGGGCGCAGGAGUCGGUGGUGGCAGACGCGAAACCAAGUGAUCUACACUUGGCCAGGAUGAAGUCCCGGUAACACGGGAUGGAGGUCCGCACCAAUAAGCGUUGAAAAGCUUCUGGAUGAGCCGAGUGUAGGAGUGAAAGGCCAAUCAAACUUGGAGAUAGCUCGUACUCCCCGAAAGGCAUUUAGGUGCCGCCUGUGGAGUUCCCGGCGCGAGGUAGAGCGACUGAUAGGAUGCGAGGGCUUCACCGCCUGUCAAGUCCUGACAAACUCCGAAUGCGCGCCGGCCAAUCCAUGGAGUAAGGGCACGGGUGCUAAGGUCCGUGCCCGAGAGGAGAAGAAUCCAGACCACCGGCCAAGGUCCCGAAAUGCUGGUUAAGUUAGACUAACGCAGUCCGUCCCCCCAGACAGCUAGGAUGUUGGCUUGGAAGCAGCCAUUCAUUCAAAGAGUGCGUAACAGCUCACUAGUCGAGGGGAUGGGCGUGGAUAAUAAUCGGGUAUGAAACCAGUUACCGAAGCCGUGGGAUAUGAGAAUAUCGGUAGGGGAGCAUUCCAUCCUGCGUCGAAGGCGCCGCGCGAGCGGCUCUGGAGCGGAUGGAAAAGCAAAUGUAGGUAUAAGUAACGAUAAGGAGGGUGCGAUCCCCUCCCGCCGAAAGACCAAGGUUUCCUGAACAACGCCAAUCGGUUCAGGGUGAGUCGGUCCCUAAGCAUAAGCCUAAGGGCGAGGGCGAUGGAUCAAACGGUUAAUAUUCCGUUACUGUCUUGGUGUGUGACGCGGCGACGGAGAAGUGACACGGCCGCCCCCUGACGGAAAAGGGGGUUUAAGCGCAAAGGUUACGAGGGAGGCAGGCAAGCCCACCUCCCGAGCCGAAGCGCGAAAGUACGCGGCGCCCUUCUGGGCAACGCGACAGCGCCGGUAACCAUGCUCCCGAGAAAACCCGCUAAACUCCAGCACCAAGUCAUCCGUACCGUAAACGGACACACGUGGUCGGGUAGAACAUACUAAGGCGCUUGGGAGAUUCACGGUUAAGGAACUAGGCAAAUUGACCCCGUACCUUCGGAACAAGGGGUCCUCGUGUAAACGAGGCGCAGAGAAUAGGUCCAGGCAACUGUUUAACAAAAACACAGGGCUGUGCAAAUUCGAAAGAAGCCGUAUACAGCCUGACACCUGCCCGGUGCCGGAAGGUUAAGAGGAGGGCUCAUACUUAUGUAGAAGGCCCGAAUUGAAGCCCCGGUAAACGGCGGCCGUAACUAUAACGGUCCUAAGGUAGCGAAAUUCCUUGUCGGGUAAGUUCCGACCUGC